rfam:Cryobacterium arcticum strain PAMC 27867 chromosome 1, complete sequence.
AAUGGCUCCUCGCGUGGCGCUAUCUCAGCCAACUCCCCCAGGACGGAAACGUAGCAAGGGUAACUGGGCUCUGGUGGGUGCGCGAGGAGUUUUACUU